UGAGACCAUCUUGGCUAACAUAGUGAAACCCCAUCUCUACUAAAAAUACAAAAAUUAGCUGGGUGUGGUGGCGUGCGCCUAUAGUCCCAGCUACUCGGGAGGCUGAGGCAGGAGAAUCGCUUGAACCCGGGAGGUGGAGUUUGCAGUGAGCCGAGAUUGCAUCACUGCACUCUAGCCUGGUGACAGAGCGAGACUCCACCUCAAAAAAAAGAAAAAAAAAAAAACAGAAAAAUAGUAACCCAGUUAAGGAGAAUCUUACCUAAUUUGCCAUCUUAAAACCUACUUUUAUGGGUUUUUUUGUUUGUUUUUGUGGAAUAAAGCAACACAAUACUUUUGUGGUUUUAAUAACAAAACCAAGUUCAUGACCGGCCUGGGUAAUGUAUGACAAAAAAUUUUUUAAAUUAGCCAACAGGCAUAGUGACCCAAACCUAUGAUACUAGCACUUUGGAAAGCCAAGGUGGGCGGAGCCCGGGAGUUCGAGACUAGCCUGGGCAACAUCAUGAAAUUUCACCUCUACAAAAAUACAAAAGUUAGCCAGGUAUGGUGGUGCGCACCUGUAGUCCCAGUUACUCAGGAGGCUGAGGCAGAGAGUUGCUUGAACCUGGGAGGCGGAGGUUGCAUGAGCCGAGAUUGCGCCACUGCACUUCAGCCUGGGUGACAGAGCGAGACUC
rnacentral:lncRNA from 1 species